rnacentral:lncRNA from 1 species
CAGUUUUCACUUUUAGUCUUGCGUAAUUGUCUUGAGAAAUCCGCGUUCUCCAAGCUAUUAAAAACCAGUAAAACGGGACAGUCGUUUCGCCUUCUGAGCACGGGGGACAGAUAGAAGAGAAGCUGAAAGGUAGGAUAAUCAAUGAUAGGGUAAAGGCUUACUCUAGUCGGCAGAGGUCAAGAUUCGUCUGUUCUGUCAAGAUGCUCCGGAAGAUGAUCACAGCGAGAUAAACAAAGGAAAGUGGGCAAACUGCAUGCGUAAAAUUUGAUAACCGGCAGUCAAGGAGACAUUUGGAUCAGACUUUUCGUACCAAUAGUUAAAGUACAAUCUCUUGGACGCAGAAAAUUUCCAUCGUCAUUCGGAGGAAUUGUUGGCUCAUCUGCUGCCGAAACAGACGGCCAGAACUUCCUUUAUAGAGGAAUGCCCUCAACAAACUUAAAGACAAGCUUGGAAAAUGCCGCUUUCUUUCUACGCCGGUCGAAGAUCGGCGCUGCUAAACAAACUAGGGAACAACAAUUUGCAAAGCUACCCAGCUCGAGAUUCGACGAGUUAACAGAACUUUACAAUGAACACACGCCACGACACAACAACAGAGCCAAACUAGACAAGGUGGCUCAUUUACUGGUACAAAUUCUGCAGGUACAAGAAGUGCAAACGAUCAAGGAAUACACCAUGAAUGGGUACCGUUUCAAGGUACACGUGCUUGAAGACACAGAGUUAUAGCAAGCAUGGUUAGACAGUUGUCAUCACUGUGCAACAUGCGGACUGAACUUCUUGGUUGUAAUUAGUUUCUUUAGAAGGCAAAGGCGCUUCAUAAUCAAGGAAAUCAGAACGAUUUAUUGUUGCUAUUAGCAAAGAUAAGGGGCUGUGAAACUGACUGAACUGAUCGAUGGCCAACUUGUGUAUUUCAAUAAAGCUCCUAGCUUGGGGCUAUUGAUUCCCGAAGCUGCAUUGAUUUCAAUCGGGACAUCAAACUGUGAUGGACCUUUAUUCUGUAAAUGGUUAAAUUAGAUGAACCCGCAAGAUCAUGUUAGCCAUGAUGAUAGAUAAGAGUCAACGGUUUUACAGCCUUAAAAUCUUCCGCUCCUAAGAUGUAAAUAUGUAAAAGACAUUUGGUAGUUUAUUGAACCUUUGAUGUUCUGAAAACACAGGCUUGUUUCUAAACAAAACAUUGAGCCUUGCUCCAGAGUAAAAGAAAACAAAUGCUCAAGUACAUUUUGUUCUAGUAUGUUAAUGCGUUAGAUAAUUGUACCUAAUUCUUUUUCAAUCGGUUGACCAAAAGAAACAAGUCACUGUCGCUUUGGGUACUCACGAGUUGGUCUGCUGUGUUGGAAUUCACGCCCAUAUCUCAUGACGCAUGAUAAAGGUACAUGUACACACGUACACACCAAGGGUCAAGUAUUGUUGUUUUUUUUUUAAAAAUGUAAUUUCAAUUUUCCCAUAGCUUUUCUUUGAGCGAGGAUGGUUCGUAAAUCCAGUUAAAUGUUCCCUAUAGUUUUCACUACCGGUUCUCUUAUGACUCAUUUAUAACUUAGCUAAUGGUCUGUUUUCUACUUAACAUGGUUAACCACACAAAGAGCCAGAAGAUGCAUUGCUUCUCAGUUUCAUUCUUUAAUUGAAAAAAACAUUUUAAAAAAAAUGUCUUGUUAUGGUAGCGUGACAAAACUGUUUUGCAUGCACGAGGUUCUGACCUGUUGACAUAGUUUGCUAGGCCUAGAGAUAAUCUUUUAACCGAAACAUGUUUUAUGCUGAAUCCUCGAUAUGGAUGGGUUUUAGACUGAGCUAACGUAAAACUACUUCAGAAUCGCGUCAAAUCUAAGAACAAGAAUUAGAACACAGAUUUGCAAAAAGCAUCGUCCUUUCACUACGAAUCAUAUUUGAGUAUGCUACCGGUGAAAUGCGAAUGUCAUUUCAUGGGCUGAAGGACACCUUGUAACCAUUCUAUCCAUUGCAAAAAGCAAAUUUUUAAAUCAUGACAGCUUGAACGUCAACUAUCCGUCAAGAGAGGACUCUCCUCUUGGUAACACGAGAUUUCUUGAAUCAAAUCACGUUACUAAACGAUGGGAUCGCAGUAUUUGCUCUUGUAGAAUAAAUUAUUCAUAUUAGUCUUAGUGUCUCUUAAGUACACUUGCAGACAGUUGCCUUUCAAUAUUUCGUAGGAAAGUUGAUAAACACUUUUUUUAGUAUAACUAAAUUGCGAUCAAAACAAGUGAAACUUUCUGUUUCUAGUUGGAUUCAGUGAUUAAGUAAAUACGAAAGAUUAACUUAGUAUAACGCAGAAUCACAGAAUACAGCAUUUGAAGCCGGAA